rnacentral:tRNA from 4 species
GUCAGGAUAGCUCAGUUGGUAGAGCAGAGGACUGAAAA